rnacentral:piRNA from 1 species
AAGGAGUCUACUCUGCAUGCGUGUGGAU